rnacentral:lncRNA from 1 species
AAGCAUUAAACUUUAUUAGUUUAUUAGGCUAAUUAGGUUAGUAUUAUUAGUUUAUUAAGUUAGUUUAUUAGGUCAAUUAGGUUAGUUAGUUAGGUUAGAAGAAAAAAAGAAGAAAAGAAGAAAAGAAUUAGAAGAAGAGUAAGGAAAAGAAGAAAAUAAUUAGAAGAAGAAUAAGGAAAAGAAGAAGGAAAAGAAGGAGGAGAAGAAGAAGAAGAAGAAGAAGAAGAAGAAGAGGACGAGGAGGAGGAGGAGGAGAAAAAAGAAGAACAAGAAGAAGAAGACGAAGAAGAAGAAGAAGAAGAAGAAAAAGAGGAGAUAGGAGAAGAAGAAAGAAGAGGAAAAAAGGAA